rnacentral:rRNA from 1 species
UACGUAGGGGGCGAGCGUUGUCCGGAUUUAUUGGGCGUAAAGAGCGUGUAGGCGGCCAGGUAGGUCCGUUGUGAAAACUCGAGGCUCAACCUCGAGACGUCGAUGGAAACCAUCUGGCUAGAGUCCGGAAGAGGAGAGUGGAAUUCCUGGUGUAGCGGUGAAAUGCGCAGAUAUCAGGAAGAACACCUAUGGCGAAGGCAGCUCUCUGGGACGGUACUGACGCUGAGACACGAAAGCGUGGGUAGCAAACAGG